CUUUCGUAUCUCACCCCGCACGUAAAACUAACCUCAAUCUCGAUCUGUUUCAUCUCAGCCUCCAGCCCCGAGAGGAGCCGCCGCCGCCGCCGAGAGGAGACGCCCCAGCCCCGAGAGGAGCCACCGCCGCCGAGAGGAGACGCCCCAGCCCCGAGAGGAUCCGCCGCCGCCGCCGGGGAACGAGGUCGCCGCCGCCUUCCUCGCCCGCGGCCAUGAUGACCGAUCUGGCGUGGGCGCCGCAGAUCACCCUCUGGUCCAUGGCCUCGACCAGUUUGCUAUGAUCUGGCGACGGGGAUGCAAGGAGAAGCUGCUGCGGUUUCAAGGGGCCGUGAGGAUGCCCACCAUGAAGGCGUGUCUGGGAUGAUGGAGGUGAUAUCCAGGCCCUGGUGAUAUCGGCCAGGUCCCCGUUGCCGUCGACUGGCGGCGGCCACCGUGUCCUCUUCCAUGGCGUCGGCAGGGCCUUCCCCUGCCAAGCGCAGCGGCUCCUUGGCUGGAUCACCGUCGCACACCUCGCCGGCGUGGUCGGCAAGAUCUGCAUCUCGAUCCUCGCCACUCUCCAUCCUCUUGCAGGUAAUAGGCUUUCCGCCCCCUCUUUUAUCUCCCGCGUUCUCGUGUGCACGGAUUGUGAGCGUGAAGGAAUAUUUCUCUUCUAUUUCAUGGUGCUGCUGUGCUCCUUCUGCCUUCACACUGCACAUAUAUAGAUUCUUCAAAGGAAUUGGAUGCUGAUAAUAUCAACUUAGUUCCCUGAAUGUGAUAUAUAUAUUCUUCCCUCGCUUUGAAUUGAUUGACCCAAACAAUAUAUCUCUGGUUGACAGUCAUGGCCUAUUAUUAUUGUUGUUAAUUUACAACACUCUGCGCUGUAUUGUCCAAUCAUGGUCCAAACUUAAACCUUGGAUGUGGAUUCAUUGUAUGUACCAUAUGCUGUUCAUAGCUACAAAAUUGCAAUCUCUUGAAAAUGUUCUUGAAUACAGUAAUUUUUUUGUCACAUAACCCAUAUGCUGAUGAUAAAGUUUGUUGUAUGAGCUUGUGGCAUACUGAUCUGACAGGUGGCAGGUAUGCAUUCAGAUGUUGCAGCUCUAAGGAAGGGUAGUAUAUGGCACAUGGCUUCGUGGGUUGUUCGACAAGAAGUGUUUUGGGCAUAUUCGAAAGGCAAUCUUGUCAAAAUUGUACAUCGAUUUUCUUAUUCCGCCAUCAGCUUCUAUUGAUAUGAGCGAUACAAAAAGUUCAGCACUGAAUUUUAGUAUGUUAACUUGCAAGAUUUCUCGUGACUAUGUUUUUUUGUGCAAGGUUUAUAAAUUUCAAAAUAUAGUUGCAGCUUCACGGAAUGGACGGCCCAAAUUAUGUUAGUGUCUAUAUGUUUACUUGGUGGUGGUCUAGCGUGAGUGACACCUGCAUCUGUAACUUACCCAUUGGAUGUUGUUCGAAAUCACCUGACAACACAGAAAACCACUAGGUAUUACAAGGGCAUCUUUCACACGUUGUCUACAAUUUGUAGAGAAGAGAGUGGUAGAGGAUUGUAUAAAGGCCUUUGGUCCACCUUAUUGGGAGUUGGACCUGAUAUAUCAAUCAACGUUUAUGUAUAUGAAUCCCUGAGGUCUCAUUGGCAAAUGGAAAGUUGAAUGUCAAACUGUGCGACCAAUGAUUUGCUAUGGUUAAUUCCAGUUGGGUGUGUUAACCUACAGUAAUCAAUCAAGUCAACAAAUAUAACAAUGAUACUUUGUCUUCUGAUUUUUGGUGGUGAUUUUUUUUUGUGACUGAACUAACAGGAGCUGAAGCAUGUGUUCUUAUUUUUUUAUAUGACUAGAUGCAUAUGAACUGAAGCUCCAUAAUUUUCUUUUCAAGUCGACAUUGGUGGCAACCAAUACAAUUAGUGUUAUUUACAACCAAUGAAGUCUUAUAAUUUUCUUUCUUAGAAAUAUACAGUGACACUGACUAUCAUUUAGUAGCUCUACAGGCACUAGCCAAAAACAAUAAUGUUUAUUUAUUUAACCACCAAAUAGAACAAUAGGUUAUUCUGCAUUAUGGGUACACAAAUCACAACACUAUAUUUCAGCUGUAGAAAUCUGUGUGGAUGCCUGCUGAUAUUUUAAGCCUACAUAUUGCCGAUUUGGUUUGAGGAAUGCUUGAAGCAUAAUUUACUCCCUAAUGUGCAAAUAGCAGUAUCAUUUUUUGUCAAGAAACUGAGAAGACGGAAGAGAGUUGGUGUUGUCAGUGUGGUGAGCCUAUGCGGCAACCACAAGGCUGAAGUCUGCUUUGAUCAUUGUUCAAGAUUUGAGCCUUGGCUCCGGUUUUGAUAGCUCUAUAUCAGGAGUACAUGUCAUGAUUGUUGGAUACACAUGCAGACUUUCAGCGAGUUUUUGUUCUCGGACUUGGGAUCCACAGUCCAAAGUUGAUUGGUGGAUCAAGUGAACUUGGUGCAUCUCCAUUCAAGCUGGCGUACAAUUACCAGCCUGCUUGUUUAGCGCAGUCUCCACAAUCAUAUAAGCAAAUGAGCAUCUGUGGUGGCUUUGGGCGCGUGUUUGAGGCUGGUCCGGUAUUUAGAUCAGAAAAAUCAAACACUCACAGGCAUCUGUGUGAGUUUAUUGGGUUGGAUGCAGAAAUGGAGAUUAAGAAGCACUACUUUGAGGCAAGGAAGAUUUGGAGGAAAUAUUUCUUUAGUUUGUCUAUUGAAGCGAUGCUGACCAAGUACUGAUUUUUGUUUUCAGGUUUGUGAUAUCAUAGAUUGCUAAUUGUAGCAAUAUUCAAACACCCAAAUGAAAAUUGUCAGAAGGAACUCGAGACAAUAAAUAGGCAGUAUCCAUUUGAACCUCUGAAGUACCUAGAGAAAACGUUGAAGCUAACGUACGAGGAAGGGAUUAAAAUGCUCAAGGAUUUCCGAUCCUAGCGGGAAAAGGAGGGAAACGGCGGCGCCCUUGGGCGUCGUUAUCCUUCUUGAAGGCAUCUCGGAAGAGUUCAUCCACUCAUCUCUGGGGUGUGGGCAAGUUGGUGGUUCCAUUCUGGAAUCCUCUAGGCAGGGUGCUUGCAAUCCCCUACAUCUCGGCUGCAACAAAAAAGACCCAACGAGGUGCUAGAAGGAGAACUGGGUUGUGGUGGUGUUGCUGGUCGUUUUCCUUUUUACUUUUGCACUUUGGCCGUCAUAAACGACACAUGCUUGCUCCCCGGAUGGAUCUCUUUCUCUCCCUGGAUCUUUUAAACAGGUGUUGUGAUUAAAAUUGUGAUAAAUCAGUGUUCAUCACUAUUCUUUUUGGACUUGAAUAGAUCUAUGUCUAAAUUACACAUAAUGUGUAGGAGAAAAUUACUAUAGCUGGACUUUCAUGUCUUUCUUGAAUCCAUGGCAAAGCAUAGUCACCUUAACUAUGUUGCUUUGCACAUGUCUUCUCAUGGCCUUAUUAAAGAUCUUGUUUCCAUGGCUUUAAACACAGGAUGAUAUUUUUGUAGCAUAUUUCAUAUAAGUUUUCCUCCUAUAAGGCUAUAAUUUCAAAUUCAAGCCCACCCAACACACAAAGUUUCUAUCUUCUUAUUUUCUAUACAAGUAGUAGCUGGCGCAGCGGUGGUGUUGAUGAACGACACCCAAUGCAGAGGCGGCAGUUACCACAGGGAAGAGGUCAAGAACAUCUAGCUCUUGUGGUGUUCCUCCUCAUUGUUGUCAUCGCCAUCAACAGCAACAAUGACGACCGGCUCAUGAGACGGCUACUAGAGAGGGAGCGAGGAAGGGGGAGACAGAUCUUUCAGGAGCUCGGUCAAAAAUCACCUAAGGAAAAUAUGUCGUUCUUCUCUACAAGGGUUGCAUGUGGAAUUUGAGGAGAAUCUGUGCACCAGCAUCCGACUCCUUGAUGUUGCUCUGAUCAUAUUGUGUAAAUAUAUUUCUAAUAAAGCAAUCGCCCGAUGGUGUACAUGUUGUAAAUAACAAGAUGUAAUCAUCAAGUGUGAGAGAUGGCAACAUCAUGAUGGGAUGGUAUGUACUGUUGUGCUCAUCAAUAGAGUUAGAUCACUUUUCUGUCUGAGAGUCGAUUUUUUUGUGCGUUAGAUGGAUUGACAAGUACCAAAGAUUGAUGCCAAGCAGAACUAAAACCUGUCCAUGGAUUACCUUCGGUCCCGCAUUCCAAUCAACAACAUUGGGCCGAGCGAGCGCGCGGGUGGCGCAAGAGGCAAUGGGCAGCCGGUGGAGACUGAGUGGUGAGCGGCGGUGGCGAGGUCGAGCGGUUGGCACCAGCGGCGAGUAGGCAAUUACCGUGAUGGGCGAG